rnacentral:rRNA from 1 species
CAGCCGCCACGGUAAUACGUAGGGUGCAAGCGUUAAUCGGAAUUACUGGGCGUAAAGCGUGCGCAGGCGGUUAUAUAAGACAGAUGUGAAAUCCCCGGGCUCAACCUGGGAACUGCAUUUGUGACUGUAUAGCUAGAGUACGGCAGAGGGGGAUGGAAUUCCGCGUGUAGCAGUGAAAUGCGUAGAUAUGCGGAGGAACACCGAUGGCGAAGGCAAUCCCCUGGGCCUGUACUGACGCUUAUGCACGAAAGCGUGGGGAGCAAACAGGAUUAGAUACCCGAGUAGUCCCUGUCUCUUAUAC